CUGAUGGCGACCGGCGCACGGGUGAGUAACACGUAUCCAACCUGCCGAUAACUCGGGGAUAGCCUUUCGAAAGAAAGAUUAAUACCCGAUGGCAUAAUUAGACCGCAUGGUCUUGUUAUUAAAGAAUUUCGGUUAUCGAUGGGGAUGCGUUCCAUUAGGCAGUUGGUGAGGUAACGGCUCACCAAACCUUCGAUGGAUAGGGGUUCUGAGAGGAAGGUCCCCCACAUUGGAACUGAGACACGGUCCAA
rnacentral:rRNA from 1 species